CUUAACUUGAGUUUGGAUCCUUCAGCCUUGCAGAGUCCUGGGACCUUGGUCCAAGCCCUGGGUUAGCGCAAUUGCAGUGUAGACACAAAGGGAGUUAGGCU